rnacentral:lncRNA from 1 species
GCACCUCCUUUUAUAGUUGUUAGGAUUAGGGUUACUUAGGGUUUCUCUCUGUUGGGCCUUUUCCACUUGGGCCUGGGCCGGGGUGUUACAAUUCUCCCCCACUAGAACUGAAUUCGUCCCCGAAUUCUGCUGUGUCUCCGUCUGGAACAUCCCCGGAUAGGCGUCCAAAAAUUGGGCCUCACGCUCCCAUACCUCGUCA